ensembl:rRNA 5S_rRNA 5S ribosomal RNA
GUCUACGGCCAUACCACCCUGAACGCGCCCGAUCUCGUCUGAUCUCGGAAGCUAAGCAGGGUCGGGCCUGGUUAGUACUUGGAUGGGAGAACAAAUAAAGGAAAAGGUACACUUAGAUG